rnacentral:rRNA from 1 species
CCUACGGGAGGCUGCAGUGGGGAAUAUUGGACAAUGGGCGAAAGCCUGAUCCAGCCAUGCCGCGUGUGUGAAGAAGGCCUUCGGGUUGUAAAGCACUUUCAGUGGGGAAGAAAGCCUUGGGGCUAAUACCCUCGAGGAAGGACAUCACCCACAGAAGAAGCACCGGCUAACUCCGUGCCAGCAGCCGCGGUAAUACGGAGGGUGCGAGCGUUAAUCGGAAUUACUGGGCGUAAAGCGCGCGUAGGCGGUCUGAUAAGCCGGUUGUGAAAGCCCCGGGCUCAACCUGGGAACGGCAUCCGGAACUGACAGGCUAGAGUGCUGGGGAGGAAGAUAGAACACGCGGGGUAGCGGUGAAAUGCAUAGAGAUCGGGAGGAAUACCAGUGGCGAAGGCGGCCUUCUGGACUGACACUGACGCUGAGGUGCGAAAGCGUGGGUAGCAAACAGGAUUAGAUACCCGAGUAGUC